UACAGAGGUCUCAAGCGUUGUUCGGAUUCAUUGGGCGUAAAGGGUGCGUAGGCGGCGAGGCAAGUCUGGUGUGAAAUCCCGGGGCUCAACCCCGGAACUGCACUGGAUACUGCUUUGCUAGAGUACUGGAGAGGGAACUGGAAUUUACGGUGUAGCAGUGAAAUGCGUAGAUAUCGUAAGGAAGACCAGCGGCGAAGGCGAGUUCCUGGACAGUUACUGACGCUGAGGCACGAAGGCCAGGGGAGCAAACGGG
rnacentral:rRNA from 3 species